rnacentral:lncRNA from 1 species
UUCCCGGCCGGCGACCACCGCCGCCGCUGUUCCCCGGUCAGGAGACGACGCUGCCAGCGUCCAUCCCAGCCCUACUGUCGUCGCCCGCCUCCCCUUGCGUCGCAGCGCAGCCGCUCGACCUCUCCUCCUCGGCGAUCGUUGGUGACGCUGCUCCCAGCCGCGCCACCACCGCUGCCUCUCCACCGCCGCCCGCCUCCCUUUGGGUCGCAGCCGCAGCCGCCGAUUGUCGCCCUCCUCGCGGCGACCGAAACAGGGCAACUCACGGAUUGCCCUUGUUCCCAGGUGCGUCACCACCACUUUUCCCAGCCGCAUCGCCGCCGCUCGAUCACUCGGCCAGCGACCUCUUCUCCUUGCGUCCCCAUCUCGCUCGAGCGAGAAGGACCGCCGGCACCGCAGCCGUAGCCGCCGGUUGCCGCAGC